rnacentral:rRNA from 1 species
UACGUAGGCAGCAAGCGUUGUUCGGAGUUACUGGGCGUAAAGGGUGUGUAGGCGGUUGUUUUAAGUUUGGUGUGAAAUCUCCCGGCCCAACUGGGAGGGUGCGCCGAAUACUGAAUGACUAGAGUGCGGGAGAGGAAAGUGGAAUUCCUGGUGUAGCGGUGAAAUGCGUAGAUAUCAGGAGGAACACCGGUGGCGAAGGCGGGGUCUCUGGGGCCGAUACUGACGCUGAGGAGCGAAAAGCAUGGGGUAGCGAACAGG